rnacentral:rRNA from 1 species
UAUAGUUUAUUUGAUAGUUGAAUUAUACAUGGAUAACCGUGGUAAUUCUAGAGCUAAUACAUGCAGUAAAACCUGACUUUUUGGAAAGGUUGUAUUUAUUAGAUAUCAAACCAAUAUUCCUUCGGGUCUAUUGUGAUGAUUCAUAAUAACUGAUCGAAGCUUAGCUAGUCUAAGCUAAAUCAUUCAAGUUUCUGCCCUAUCAGCUUUCGAUGGUAGUGUAUUGGACUACCAUGGCAGUCACGGGUAACGGGGAAUUAGGGUUCGAUUCCGGAGAGGGAGCCUGAGAAACGGCUACCACA